rnacentral:misc_RNA from 1 species
GAUGAAGAACGUAGCGAAAUGCGAUAAGUAAUGUGAAUUGCAGAAUUCAGUGAAUCAUCGAAUCUUUGAACGCACAUUGCGCCCCCCAGUAUUCUGACGGGCAUGCCUGUUCGAGCGUCAUUUCAACCAUCAAGCCCUGCUUGUGUUGGGGUCCUGCGGCUGCCCGCAGGCCCUGAAAACCAGUGGCGGGCUCGCUAGUCACACCGAGCGCAGUAGCACAUCUCGCUCAGGGCGUGCGGCGGGCUCCAGCCGUUAAAGCACCCACCUUUCGCAAGGUUGACCUCGGAUCAGGUAGGAAUACCCGCUGAACUUAAGCAUAUCAAUAAGCGGAGGA